GCACUAGCGGAAACAUACACAAACGGCUUACACGAGGGUAAGCAAUAGCCAUUAGUGAAAGAAAAAGGAAACUAAACAUUCACAAAUAAUAUGAUUCAUUUUAGAUCAUAUACAUUGCAUCCAUUUCUUACAUUUAGGAUUCUUUGCAUUUCAUUACAUCAUUUCAUCAUUUCUUUCUUACAUCACAUUUACCUCAAAAUACACAUCACAUUCUUUUUCGUUACAUUACUAAUCCUCAUGUACAAAAGAUGAACAUA
rnacentral:lncRNA from 1 species